CUGGAGUUCAUACGUGUGUUCUUUAUUGUUCGUAGACAAAGCGAAUUCGGAAUUCAUUCUAAGGCAUAACUUCUAUCCAUGCGCUUCAUAUUCGC